rnacentral:rRNA from 1 species
UACGAAGGGGGCUAGCGUUGCUCGGAAUUACUGGGCGUAAAGCGUGCGCAGGCGGUUCGUUGUGUCGGCGGUGAAAGCCCCGGGCUUAACCUGGGAACGGCCGUUGAAACUGGCGAACUGGAGUGUGGCAGAGGGGGGUGGAAUUCCGCGUGUAGCAGUGAAAUGCGUAGAGAUGCGGAGGAACACCGAUGGCGAAGGCAGCCCCCUGGGCUAACACUGACGCUCAGGCACGAAAGCGUGGGGAGCAAACAGG